CAUCGGCAUGUCAUGUCCCUACAGAAUAUCAUCCACAAAAAAGGUUUAGAGCUGGACCAUGAAGGUUAAUUGGAUCUAGCAGCUAUAUUGUUUUUUAGAACACUGUUAUUAUAUCAAUCAAAAUGAAAAGUGGAUUUUUUUUUUUUUAAGAAUAUUAUGUUCCACUUAUUGUGAUGCAUCUGAAAUUUGUACAUGUCGUCAUCAAGUCUUGGAUCCCAG
rnacentral:misc_RNA from 1 species